AAAUGAGCGUGCAGUGGGUGUCCACUAUCUGUCGUGAAAAGCAUUGACAUUGUUCGCACAUACCAGAAACCCGAAAAACCUCGCCUGCAAAAAUGAAGGUCGCUAUCGUUCUCGCUUUGCUGUGCGCCGUUGCUUUGGCAGAGGAGCCAUGCCUGUGCCCUAAGAUAAUCAGCCCAGUGUGCGGACAACCCCUCGGAGAGGCAGUUGCCUGGUAUGACAACGCUUGCCUGGCAACAUGCGCCAAAGCGGUUGUCGUUGAAGACAGUCACUGCGGCCAUCUGGAGAAACCUGGACAUGGAAUACCCCUUUUCUAGACUGACCACCUCCUACUUCACCACAAUGCGGACAACACUAUAUACAAUUCUAUGAUGGUUUUUCCACUCUGUCUUUUCAUAAACAAUGUAUCGUUAUUAACACAAAUUGAUUUUUUAUUAUAAAUAACAUCCUGCUAAGUUAACUUUAUUUUGGCUCGUAUAAUAAAUACUUUUUUCAUUUGA